rnacentral:lncRNA from 1 species
AACACUGAUGAAACGCUUCAGUUUGAGGUCUGUGGGCGACCACCAGGGGGCGACCACGCACCUCAAACUGAAGCACUGAGACACGAAGAGCAUCUGAAUGAAGCCGUCAGCCUCAGGAGGUCCCUGUGUGAGAACAGUUCAGCUCUCAGUCCACAGAGAACAGCUGGAUACGGGGUGCAGGACUUCAUCUGUGUAACCACCCGCUCCCUCACAGGAGCAGAGCGGCGUCAGCCUCUGGGAGGCCUCACUCACGAUGCGACUUCCAUCACAGAUGUCUGCAGAAAAUCCAGCUGCAGCCACGAAAGCCUAAAAAAGGCCACACGUCCAGGAGAGUCCAAGAAACGAGACACUGGGAGGUUCUGCACCCCAUUGUUUUCCAUAGUGAUGCGUUUAAUGCCCUGCACAGAGCGUGGGCACCGGCAGCGCAGCGUCACUGAACGAGGAUCUGCAGGAACUGCAUGUUUGACAGGAUGCGGAGGAUGCGGCUUCCUGCCCGUGCCCCCUCGCCCUCACUGCACCUCGUUAAACAGCAGACGCGCUGCUUCCUGGAGGUCACGUGCAGACUUUAAUAUAAGAUGACAGAAUCAGCGGCUCCUCCUGCUGCACAGGUGGAGCUGGGAAUUGAACGGGUGACCCCCUCAGACCUGGCAACACAGAGGUGUGUGGCUCUGCAGCCGAAAUGAGGCCCCUCGGCCUGUAGGUGGCACAUGAACACACUAGUUCAGGCCAGGCACGAGCCCCCUCUCCUCGCUCGCUCUCGUGAGUGCGCGCGCGCCGACCGCUGCCGUUACAUAACGUGCUCUGCCGCUGCGCCGCCGCUGUGAUCCGCCCAUCACAUCAGCUGCUACAGACAAACCCUGUGAACUUGCAGAGGUUUUCAAAUUCGGUGCAGGACGUUUUGUUCUUUCUCAGAUUAUGCUGCCAUUUUCCAGUUUAUUAAGAAAAGUUCUGUCCUCAGGCAGAAAAUGUCACACUAAUAUUAUACUGUGGUCUGUGUAACAAGGCUGCGACUGUGCGUUUUACGGAAUAAAAGACUAAAUAAUACGGAAUAAAAAAUGAAU